UAAUAUUUUAGAAGUAAAUUUAAUUAAUUUAAUAAAAUUUAAUUUUGGUUUAAAAUUUAUUUAAUUUUUAUUUUAUAUGUAAAUUUUUGUAUUAAUAAAAUUUUUAUUUAAAAUAAUUUAAAUUUUACAGUAAAUGAUUUUAUAAAUUAAUGAAAAUUAGAUUUAGUAAUUAAUUAUAGAAUAGAAGAAAUUUGUGCCAGCAUUUGCGGUUAUACAGAUUAUUUAAUUGAAUUAUAUUAGUAUUAAAUAAAAUGUAAUUUAAUAGAUUUAAAUUUAAUAAUUAAAGUGAAAUUUAUUAUUAAAAUAGAUUUAUUUUUAUGAAUAUUUGAUUUUUGAAAUUUAAAUAAUAAACUAGGAUUAGAUACCCUAUUAUUUUAAAUGUAAAAUUUAUACUAAGGGAUUAAAAGUUAUGUUCUUUAAAUUUAAAAAAUUUGGCGGUAUUUUAGUCUAUUUAGAGGAAUUUGUUCUAUAAUUGAUAGUCCACGAUAAAUUUUACUUAAUUUAUUAAUUAAUAUAUCGUCGUUAUCAAAAUAUUUUUUUAGAAAAAUAAAUUUUAAGAAAUGGAAAUAAAUAAUAUUUCAGAUCAAGAUGUUGUUUAUAAUUAUGAAGAAAUGAGUUACAAUAAAUUAAUUUAUAUGGAUAUCUUAUUGAAAAAUGAGGUUAAAAGUGGAUUUAAUAGUAAUUUUUAAAAAAUUUUAAAGAUGAUUUAAGCACUAAAAUAUGCACAUAUCGCCCGUCGCUCUUAUUUAUUAAAUAAGAUAAGUCGUAACAAAGUAGAUGUACUGGAAGGUGUAUCUAGAAAGCA
rnacentral:rRNA from 1 species